UGUGGGAGCUGGCUUGCCUGCGAUGGCGGUGUGUCAGCCACCAAUGUUUCGGCCGAAGGAACGCUAUCGCAGGCAAGCCAGCUCCCACA
rnacentral:antisense_RNA from 1 species